rnacentral:misc_RNA from 1 species
GAUGAAGAACGUAGCGAAAUGCGAUAAGUAGUGUGAAUUGCAGAAUUCAGUGAAUCAUCGAAUCUUUGAACGCACAUUGCGCCCCAUGGUAUUCCGUGGGGCAUGCCUGUUCGAGCGUCAUUUACCCCCUCAAGCUCCGCUUGGUGUUGGGCGUCUGUCCCGCUUCGCGCGCGGACUCGCCCCAAAGGUAUUGGCAGCGGUCGUGCCAGCUUCUUGCGCAGCACAUUGCGCUUCUCGAGGCAUCGGUGGGCCCGCGUCCAUCAAGCUCACCCCCCCAGUUUGACCUCGGAUCAGGUAGGGAUACCCGCUGAACUUAAGCAUAUCAAUAAGCGGAGGA